rnacentral:rRNA from 1 species
CCUACGGUGGGCAGCAGUGAGGAAUCUUGGUCAAUGGACGAGAGUCUGAACCAGCCAAGUAGCGUGAAGGAUGACUGCCCUAUGGUUUGUAAACUUCUUUUAUAUGGGAAUAAAAUGUUCCACGUGUGGCAUUUUGUAUGUACCAUAUGAGUAAGGAUCGGCUAACUCCGUGCCGGCAGCCGCGGUAAUACGGAGGAUACGAGCGUUAUCCGGAUUUAUUGGGUUUAAAGGGAGCGUAGGUGGAUUGUUAAGUCAGUUGUGAAAGUUUGCGGCUCAACCGUAAAAUUGCAGUUGAAACUGGCAGUCUUGAGUACAGUAGAGGUGGGCGGAAUUCGUGGUGUAGCGGUGAAAUGCUUAGAGAUCACGAAGAACUCCGAUGGCGAAGGCAGUUCACUGGACUGCAACUGACACUGAGGUUCGAAAGUGUGGGGAUCAAACAGGAUUAGAUACCCUGGUAGUC